rnacentral:rRNA from 1 species
CGGAGGGUGCAAGCGUUGUCCGGAUUUAUUGGGUUUAAAGGGUGCGUAGGCGGCCCGGUAAGUCAGUGGUGAAAGCCUCCAGCUCAACUGGAGAACUGCCAUUGAUACUGCCGGGCUUGAGUACAGACGAGGUUGGCGGAAUUGAUUGUGUAGCGGUGAAAUGCAUAGAUACAAUCAAGAACUCCGGUUGCGUAGGCAGCUAACUAGGCUGUAACUGACGCUGAGGCACGAAAGCGUGGGGAGCGAACAGGAUUAGAUACCCUGGUAGUCCACGCUGUAAACGAUGAUUACUCGAUGUUGGCGAUAAACUGUCAGCGUCUUAGCGAAAGCGUUAAGUAAUCCACCUGGGGAGUACGCCCGCAAGGGUG